GCUGAGAUAGCUCACCUGGUAGAGCGUUAGACUCUUAAUCUCAGGGUUGUGGGUUUGAGCCCCACAUUGGGCA